GUGUGGGUUUUAUUAGAGGUGUGAGGCUUCUGGCUCUGCACAGCAUGACUAAAUGAUAGAAAACUAGCCAAAACAAAGCAAAAAUAAACAACUCAAAUCUUUCAAAUAGGUUUAAAUUGUACAUCACAUAGCUGAUUUUUACUAGUCUCCAAAAAUACGCAUUAUUCAAAUUUCAACGUGUGUCUGUGUUUCACCUUUGGGGGGCAGCAGCAGGCUGUUAACUCAUGUGAUAUACAGCCGAUGUUAACUCGAGGAAGAAUCACAGGUUCACUGCUUUUUGUAUUAAUUUAAUACAACUUAAAAUGGUCUAAUUAACUAUAUUAGAUUAUUUGCUAUAUAAAUGAGUUGAUGUACAAUAGCUUAUGCCAGGGUAGUAUACACAAACUGCUCUGGUAUAUUUAAGCAGAUUGCAUUACUGUUUAUAUGAGGAAUUUUAGGGGCAAUUUAAUGUUUGUCUUUAAAUAGAAAUAAAUAAAUACAUAAGUAAUCAAUAUUUAAAAAAAAAACAACAAUGUUUUUCUACAACACAAACCUGAAUAGGUUUUGAGCCUGACACAUUUACAGUUAUCUCCAUAUAUCACCCUGUAUUUCCUCUUGGGUUUAGACUUACGACACUAAAAGUGUGGCUAAUGUUUCUUUAUUGCUUAAUUAUUGUAGUACUUGGGACUAAAUUGCCCUUAAUAGACUGUAUCAAUCAUCUGUUACCAAACUGCAAAAAUAUAUUUUCAAUCAGGAUCAGAGAACUCACUGAAACUGUGUGUGUUGCUCGUUAAAGUUUGAUUCUGCUUUUUAGCAGUUGUCAGCAUUUAUAUGAACGUGUAUACUAGAAGCCCGAUUUGAAAAGAACUCAAUGCUUUUUAUUCUUCUUAUUUUUAGGAGAUUUUGAAAUGAAAGAUUACGGUGGAAGAUGGUGAAUUCCUCAUAUCAGUAAGUAAAUAAGAUUUACGUAUUUUAGUUUCGGCUGCAAAAGCACCGAAUUAAAUGUUUAAAGUUGAGUGUUUUGGCUCGGUGUGAAAGUAACUGGCCCAAGCGACUAUUUUGUAGAAAAGCACAGAGUGUACUUUUGGAGACAGAGGGCAGGAGGGACCCGUAUUAGCAGGAACACUUGAAUGAAUUUGAAGAAUAGGUUUUUACAUGCAGAACAGCCACAAUACUGCGCUCUGACUGGCAGACAGUACCAGCUCUCAGAUUCAAAUGACGCACACCUGCCUGAUUGGAAGGAUUUAAAACCUUCUAUUGCCAGCAACCAAACAAAGCCAAGGCGCCAAUGUACGAUCAACCGCCGCAUCUUUCAAAUCCAGCAAAUACUCGGACUUCAUUAAAUGGUCUAUUUAAAAAAAAAUAAUAGCAAUAAUUUGAUUGUGUGCUUCAAAACAGUACGGUAAAUAUUUUUGCUUUAAAAGAAUAUAUAUACAUUUCAAGGGGAUUUAAGUUCAACAGACAAAUAAAGUUCUCGUAUCUAAGUAGAUGUCUUAGAUACUUAAUUAUUUCAUAUCUAAGUAGAAUUUCUGCUUCUAUUAUUCUAUUAACAAACUCUCUCUACUCUCUCUAACUCUUUUGCAUUCAUCCUGUCACUUUAAGAUGGAUCAUGGUUUCCUGCAUUCACAACUGAACUUGGCAAAAGAGGGUUUAACAAAAGGCUAAAGCUUGUCCUUUACAAUAGCUUUACAGAGAAUGCUAUGAUAGUCUCUCAUGGUUGUUUCUAAGCAGAUGUUGCCGUAAAUGGAUUUGUACACUAUCAUGUGAAAAUGCUCUAACUGUACCACAUAUUUUGUUCUGUAAAUGUCCACCAGCAAUCUUCUUGGUCAAGUGGCUGCCCCUCUCUGGUUAUAUGAUCUGUGGAACCCCGGCUGGCCCCUCACAUGUAAGUACACACAGACAGGGCUAAUGCUCCACUCACACACUGCGUCUGACCUGGGGGUCAAGGUGCACUGACUCCGAAGCUCGUCUAACUGGGCCUCUUGAAACUCUUGCCUUGCAUUCCAGCGCCCGGAGGAGGGGGUUGUACAGCCAGGCUUAUUACCGAGCGAGCGACCAAAAGGAAGGAGUGAUCCAGAGUGAGAGAAGAGAGAGGGAGGGAGCGCUGGGGGUAAAAGAAGCUGGAAGGUAUUAUGUGUUAUUUCCUCGUCCACGCAGCCUGUUCCCUCCUCCUCCUCAGCGCACAAGUUGGACACAAGUGAAGGAAAUGCUACAAACUUGAACCUGUGCUUGGGGCUGCUUGCGCCGGCCCUCCAUGAGCUCUCCGCGAGUCCUCUGCGAGCCUCUUGUUUUCUUUUCCUGUCGGAGCGUAGAACUCUCACUUUCCUCCCCCCCCUUCCUCCUUCUCCGGUGUCUCUGAGACACUUUGUUCAGCAGCUUUUUCCCGUGUUUUGUGCAGGAGACACACUUGGAAAAGCCAGUUGGAUUUGGAAGAUACUGACGCGAACGCACAGCUGCAGUGGUCCCCUCCAUCUCUACACCAGGACCAGUGUCCCGCUCACUCCCACCCUGCGUGUGCCUGUUACUCUGCCUCUUUGGGGAGGUGGGGGCGCCAUAUGGGAGCUCCAAAAAAUGGAAGUGGAUAGACAAUUCUCGGGCUCAGAUUUCGCGUUCUUUGUGGAGGUGAAAAUAACUGACCUUGGCCCCCCCUGAGUUCAAAACAUCGAUGAUGGUCUAUGAGGCUGUGCCAGGGUCUGUCGCAGUGA